rnacentral:rRNA from 1 species
AUACGGAGGGUGCAAGCGUUAUCCGGAUUUAUUGGGUUUAAAGGGUCCGUAGGCGGAAUAGCAAGUCAGAGGUGAAAGCCCACAGCUUAACUGUGGAACUGCCUUUGAUACAGCCUUUCUUGAGUAUAGUUGAAGUGGGCGGAAUGUGCGGUGUAGCGGUGAAAUGCAUAGAUAUCGCACAGAACACCUAUCGCGAAGGCAGCUCACUAAACUAUUACUGACGCUCAGGGACGAAAGCGUGGGGAGCAAACAGGAUUAGAUACCCUGGUAGUCCACGCUGUAAACGAUGAUCACUCGGUGUUGGCGAUAUACUGUCCAGUGCCCAAGCAAAAGCGUUAAGUGAUCCACCUGGGGAGUACGCUCGCAAGGGUGAA